GUCACAGCAGCCGACAGACGCACUCUCGCUCGCUUCCCUUCUCUUUCCAAAGAAGCCCUCGGACUGAGCAAGGCAUAUAUGUGACGGACCAGAGGGAUUUUGAUACCAGGCCACCUUUGUUCCUGAGGAGAACAUCUACCACACUGACUUGUUUCUUCUUAUUCUUAGGAGAAAAUAUACAAAUGCAUAUUGCAUAUAUACCAAGUGAUGUGAAUUAACUUGAAUGAGGC